CAAGGCACUGCAGCUCCUUCUAGAAGCCCUGCUGUUUCUCUACACACUUGGACCUUAUCUGAUACCUAUUCCUUCUAGAUGUGACACAGACCAGGAAGAAACAGGCCCCCGCCAGCAUCGACAGGAACAGAAAGAGUCCCACAGCAAUCACGAUGAUUUGCUGGAGUUUUGUGGCGGCU